GGAAGAGUCACAAAUUAUCAACAGAAUGUGCAAGGCCCAUGCCUCUCCCCAAAAAACAACAAUACUUCAUCAAACCAAAAAUACGACAGCAAACCAAAACACAAUACCUAGAAUCGAGACACAAUUCUAGAGCAUUUAUGAACCCAAACAUCAAUAACGCAUAACACAACUUAUCUGAUGGCGGUCUCCGCUUAUUUCAUGGUAGGGCACUCCCGAGCAAAAUGCCCGGCUUCGCCACAAGUGUAGCAAGACCCGCCGCCGCCCCCACUGCCUCGGCCACCACCAUACCGGCCUCCUCCACCGCCACCGCCAGAGUCAUACCGGCCUCCGCCGCCUCCACCACCACCACCACCCUGGUAGCAGUCCCUGGCCAAAUGCCCCACCUCACCACAAGAAUAACAAGCACCACCGCCUCCACCGCCAUAACCCCCACCGCCUCCGC
rnacentral:misc_RNA from 1 species